GCAGGCGGCAUCGAAUUAGCCAACAGAGAGUUCGUCUCGCUCAGUUGAACGCUGGCGGGAUAAGCACAUGCAAGUCGAACGGCAGCACGGACUUCGGUCUGGUGGCGAGUGGCGAACAGGUGGAUAAUGUAUCGGAACGUGCCUAGUAGCGGGGGAUAACUACGCGAAAGCGUAGCUAAUACCGCAUACGCCCUUCGGGGAAAAGCGAGGAGCCUUCGGGCCUCACUAUUGAAGCGGCCGAUAUCGGAUUAGCUAGUUGGUGGGGUAACAAGCUCACCAGAGCGUCUUGAUCCGUAGCUGGUUUGAAGGACGACCAGCCACACUGGGACUGAGACACGGCCCAGACUCCUACGGGAGGCAGCAGUGGGGAAUUUUGGACAAUGGGGAAGCCUGAUCAGCCAUCCCGCGUGUGCGAUGAAGGCCUUCGGGUUGUAAGCACUUUUGGCAGGAAAGAAACGGCACGGGAUAAUGCCCGUUACAACUGACGACACCUGCAGAAUAAGCGCCGGCCUAACUACGUGCCAGCGCCGCGGUAAUACGUAGGGUGCAAGCGUUAAUCAGGAAUUACUGGGCGUAAAGCGUGCGCAGGCGGUUCAAGAGAAGAUGUGAAAUCCCAGAGCUUAACUUUGGAACUGCAUUUUUAACUACCGAGCUAGAGUGUGUCAGGGGAGGUGGAAUUCCGCGUGUAGCAGUGAAAUGCGUAGAUAUGCGGAGGAACACCGAUGGCGAAGGCAGCCUCCUGGGAUAACACUGACGCUCAUGCCACGGCGAUGGGAGCAAACAGGAUUAAAGAUGCCCUGGUGAUCCACGCCUAAACGAUGUCAGCUAGCAUUGGGCCUUCGGGCCUUGUUGACACCAUCGCACGCGUGAAGUUGACCGCCUGAGGUACGGUCGCAAGAUUAAAACUCAAGGGAAUUGACGGGGGACCCGCACAAGCGGUGGAUGAUGUGGAUUAAUUCGAUGCAACGCAAAACCUUACCUACCCUUGACAUGUCCUGGAAUCUCGAAGGUGGGAGUGGAGAACCGGAACACAGGUGCUGCAUGGCUGUCGUCAGCUCAUGUCGUGAGAUGUUGGGUUAAGUCCCGCAACGAGCGCAACCAUGUGCAUUAGUUGCUACGAAGGGCGCCUAAUGGGGCCCUGCCGAGUGACAAACCGGAGGGAAAGUGGGGAUGACGUCAAGUCCUCAUGGCCCAUAUGGGUAGGGCUUCACACGUCAUACAAUGGUCGGGACAGAGGGUCGCCAACCCGCGAGGGGAGCCAAUCCCAGAAACCCGAUCGUAGUCCGGAUCAUGAUCCGCAACUCGUUCGUGAAGUCGGAAUCGCUAGUAAUCGCGGAUCAGCAUGUCGCGGUGAAUACGUUCCCGGGUCUUGUACACACCGCCCGUCACACCAUGGGAGUGGGUUUUACCAGAAGUAGUUGACCUAACCAUCAGGAGGCGAUUCACCGUGACGGAUUCAUGACUGGGGUGAAGUCGUAACAAGGUAG
rnacentral:rRNA from 1 species